GUAUAGCCCCGAUAGUAAUGGAAAUCCUUUUGUUUUUUUGGGAUGGACUUCAAUUGGAAGUGGCGUCAUCCUUAUUUGUGAAUUAGUUUGUUUUGAAAACGACAAAAAAACAAAAGAUUGUAAUGGAUAGCGGGACGGGUG
rnacentral:sRNA from 1 species